AGAAUAUAGCUAAUUUCCCAAACAUGAAUUUGCAGCUCAGGAAAAAUUAGUGUCCCACAUUAUAAAAAUAUUUAUGUGAAUUUUUAAUAUCCCAAAGGUCAGAGCUAUUCAGUGACAGAAUUGUGGUUCAGCCCAAGGAAAAAAGAAGAGUCGCUGGGAAACUGUGGUGACAGGUUCAUGCUCCGAAUAUUUAUACCAUGAUCAAGACUGAUGCAUGAGUUUAGAUAGAUCUAUUUGUGAUUUGCCAGUGCUGUUUCUCCAUGAUAAGCUCUGUGUUUGUGUUCAUUACUGCAGAGCUUGAGAUGUUGUGAGUUGUGUACUCAAGCACACAGUGAUGUUCUGCUAGUAGAUGCAUUAGAGAAAUUAGCAAUCUUCUCAAUACAUUUAUUUUCAGUUGAAGUAAUUUUAAGAAAUGUUAGUGAAAGGAACAAGGAAUUCCUUGUAUGGCCUGCAGACAGCAGCUCUGGAGGUACUCAGUGGAGCAGCCAGUGGGUGGUACCCCAGGGAUCUGUUGCCAGCAGCAGAACGGUCCUGCCCAGCACCUGUCUAUGUGCUCAGCAUUCUGUCAACUGCAGCCAUGAGGCUGCACUCUGAUAGGCAUGUAGUUAGGAGCUUUCAAAGAAAUCCUGCUUCUGCUGAAGUCAGUGGCAAAAUUCCCAUUGAUUUUUCUGGAAAGAAAUAGCGUUGUUUCCUACCCACAUCCUAGGCAGAAUUGUUCUCGACUUGGGUGUAACAGAAAGAAAUCUCACUCACUAGAAUGGAUCUGAUGAUCUAAAGAAAACAGAACGUUUAUUUAAAAAAUGAAGAAGAAGAGAGAAGUAUUGUUGCUGUGAAACUUGGAGUUUUUCUUAUGGUGUAUAUUUUCUAAGAUGGUGAAGCUGCUCUGAAAAGUGUCCUCAUCAAAUCAGCAGCCGGACACCCUGCAUUUUUGGUCUCAAUAAAAAUCAGGUAGAUGAGGCCAGCUUUGUUGUAGAAGAUUCCAGAGUUUCUUCUUCGAGUGUGUUCUGCUGGAGAUGUAAGGUACAAAUUCUCCUCUCUGAGCAUUAAAGGUGAUAAAGGGACAUGCCGCACUGGUCUGCAACAGCCACUGUUUCCUAAGGGAUCAACCUCCUUGGGCUGCACUACAACAUGGACAUUGCUUUGGCCAUUUGUUUUUACUUCUGUUGCUGAAUGAGUUUCUCAUUAAUGUUCUCAUGAAUGUUCAGUAUGGAUUAUUUAAAUGUGUCUGACACUGUGUAUUAAUAAUAGCAUAGUGACAAAAUUAACUACAGAACUUUGUUACUCGAUCAGAAUAUCAUACCCUAUUAUUCAUUAAAAAUAACAAAAAUCUCUGUUCUGCUUCCAACAGAGAAGAAACUUUUGUUUUUAGUGUUAUUUUAUCUGUCACAGGAAAGAAAAACAAAAAAGUUCUAGAGUUUCAAACCUGAAAUGUGCCAUUAGAGAGCAUUACUAUCUUGUCUGAUAAAUAUGUUCACUUUUGAUAUUUUCCUGUUUCUUUUUCUUCCCAUUUCUCUGAAUGACUAAAUCAGUGUGUUCUCAGAAAUCCUGAUACUUUCUUAUGUGAGUCCAGUAACUUCUCAAGCUGUGCAACAUGAUGUCACCCACUCUAUAAGACUCCAGAAUUUUUCAAUAAUACCUAAGUUUAACAGUGCGGAAUCACAUUGUUUCAUUUCCUCAUUCUUAUUGAUUUGUUAUAAUAAAUAGUCAUACAGAGAAACAUACAACCAGAAAUUGAUAGACCUUGUCUGUGCAUCUCUACAACAUUUAGCACUGCUGUAUAAAAAAUCUCUUCUGCUUACUCUUGUGCCAUAAAUAUAUACAUACUAAAAAAUUAAUUCAGAGGAGGAAAAUAAGGCACUACCUAUUUUGGGCCAGCAAAACAAAAUACAGUCUCUGAUGUACAUAUCAGGCUACUUCUCAUUACCUUUCAAACAUGCCCCACAAAGCCCUUCUAAUCAUACAUAAUCUAAAAGCAAACUGAUGAAAGAUAAAUCUUUGAUUUUUUUUCUUUAUCCAUACUGUGGCUUUUGUAAGAGUGCUUUGAUUUAUUUCCACAUGAGGAAUUAGGGUCUUAAUCGCAAUUAGCAUACUUGAGUGUUGUGUUAAAUGCUAAUCUGAGGGUUGUCUUUUUGUAUAUUUUAAGAAAUAAAACUCAGAGGGCUAUGUAAUAAGACUAGGCAAAAUUUCUGGAGUUUGCUUUGCUGAAAUUACAGGUUAAUGUCAUCUGAAUUUGCAAACUGAUUUGAAUUUAAGCUGUGUGAAAUGUUUGCAGUGGAACUUGAAGCUGAAAAUACAUCUGGUUUGAGUAUUUGAAGGAAAUACUUAGUCUGCGCGCACACUUUUCAAAUGGACUUGAGUUGAAAUAUGCACUUACAUACUCAAAAUGUUUACCUGACACUUAAUAUGAAGGCAAGAUCCACCACAUCUAAUACAUUUCAUGUGGAGCUUUGGGACAUGUUUGAAACAAAUCUCAGUUGGCUUAGUCUGGUCUUGUUCCCCAUGGAGUCACUGUUUACACUGAAAAAUUGGAACUGCAUUUAUUUGUAACAGCUGAGAAACUGAUCCAGCAUAUUGAGAACUGCAGUCAUGGAAACAUGUAUGCAUGUGUUUAUGUGUAGAUAUCAGAAAAAAUUUCCUCCAUAUUUCUUCUGAAAUGUAAACUAUGGGAAAAUUCAUGUUUUCUUCAUAAUGAAAGAUUAAAAUGCUUUAAAAAGUUG